GAGUUUGAUCAUGGCUCAGAUUGAACGCUGGCGGCAGGCCUAACACAUGCAAGUCGAGCGGAUGACAGGAGCUUGCUCCUUGAUUCAGCGGCGGACGGGUGAGUAAUGCCUAGGAAUCUGCCUGGUAGUGGGGGACAACGUUUCGAAAGGAACGCUAAUACCGCAUACGUCCUACGGGAGAAAGCAGGGGACCUUCGGGCCUUGCGCUAUCAGAUGAGCCUAGGUCGGAUUAGCUAGUUGGUGGGGUAAUGGCUCACCAAGGCGACGAUCCGUAACUGGUCUGAGAGGAUGAUCAGUCACACUGGAACUGAGACACGGUCCAGACUCCUACGGGAGGCAGCAGUGGGGAAUAUUGGACAAUGGGCGAAAGCCUGAUCCAGCCAUGCCGCGUGUGUGAAGAAGGUCUUCGGAUUGUAAAGCACUUUAAGUUGGGGA
rnacentral:rRNA from 1 species